AGCCUAUCUUUGGCUGAGGCCCCACAUCCAGUAGUCAGCAUGGUGGCGUUGAAAGGUCAAAUUGCAGUAAUAUUACCAGAUCGCACUAGUAUUCCAACGCUGAAGAAACGUUGAAAUUACAAUGGAGUAAUGCAAACGAUUGAUAAAGGUAAUGAUAGGCCUAUAUAUGGCCAAUGCGACGUUUAUCUCGGGACUGUGCAGCUCUGUGCCACUUCCAUUUUUCCUAACAUUCAAAAUACCGCAAACGUUUGGAUUGUUUGAGGAAGUUCGAGGAGUGUGCAAGCACCUGUACAACUGUUCUUGCCACCUGCGCUACAUACACGCAAUGGCCAUUUGAGCGUUUCUUCAAGAGGGAUUUGACAAGGAAAUUCAGAAUUGAGCGGAAUGACAAGAGAUUAAUUCGCCAGGAAAACGCCUUCUUCCACGCAACUAACUGCAGGCUGUGGGGUGAACAUCUCCGUGCUGCGAGCCCCGAGCUCCGUUUCCAUGACGCUCCCCCCGAGAGACGGAUGACAUCGAUUUUCACCUCCGCCACACUCCUGCCUCCGGCGGACAAAUUUCCCAUCAGCAGCUAUAAGCGAGGUAAACAUCUGAGUUUCUAUCAGCGGCCAGCAAUGUGUGAAAUGGUGCCCAUCUCGGUCCCUGUGUGGCCCUGCACCCCUCCUCUUCGCCGGAGCCCCUGUAGCUCCGCUUGUCUAUUGUUCGCGGGGGACGAGACAUUUUGGAGAGCGAGGCCCGUGUUGAUUCUGUGUCUAGCCCGGUGAGGCUCCAGGGCACAGGACCUUAUCCAUCACUCUGAUUAACGUGCCACUGGGUGCCCCCUCUCCCCGCUAGAUUAGCCAUGGAGGAUGCUGCCCUGUUGUCUCAAGUGCAUUUUUCUAUUGAAUUAUCUUUUUGGAAUUAUUGCUACUGUUACUAGCUUUAUCCCUAGUGACUGAUUCUACUACCUUUAAGUAA